rnacentral:sRNA from 1 species
ACCUUAAUUCUUCUCCACUUCCGCAACUAACCUACUCCACGACCACAAAAAUAACAUAUCCAGCACCGUCGUCAUCUUUGUCUCAAUCUCUCAUGUGUUAAAUGUAUUUAA